GGGGCUGAUUCUGGAUUCGACGGGAUUUGCGAAACCCAAGGUGCAUGCCGAGGGGCGGUUGGCCUCGUAAAAAGCCGCAAAAAAUAGUCGCAAACGACGAAAACUACGCUUUAGCAGCUUAAUAACCUGCUUAGAGCCCUCUCUCCCUAGCCUCCGCUCUUAGGACGGGGAUUAAGAGAGGUCAAACCCAAAAGAGAUCGCGUGGAAGCCCUGCCUGGGGUUGAAGCGUUAAAACUUAAUCAGGCUAGUUUGUUAGUGGCGUGUCCGUCCGCAGCUGGCAAGCGAAUGUAAAGACUGACUAAGCAUGUAGUACCGAGGAUGUAGGAAUUUCGGACGCGGGUUCAACUCCCGCCAGCUCCACCA
rnacentral:tmRNA from 1 species